rnacentral:rRNA from 1 species
GAUGAACGCUGGCGGCGUGCCUAAUACAUGCAAGUCGAGCGAACAGACGAGGAGCUUGCUCCUCUGACGUUAGCGGCGGACGGGUGAGUAACACGUGGAUAACCUACCUAUAAGACUGGGAUAACUUCGGGAAACCGGAGCUAAUACCGGAUAAUAUAUUGAACCGCAUGGUUCAAUAGUGAAAGACGGUUUUGCUGUCACUUAUAGAUGGAUCCGCUCCGCAUUAGCUAGUUGGUAAGGUAACGGCUUACCAAGGCAACGAUGCGUAGCCGACCUGAGAGGGUGAUCGGCCACACUGGAACUGAGACACGGUCCAGACUCCUACGGGAGGCAGCAGUAGGGAAUCUUCCGCAAUGGGCGAAAGCCUGACGGAGCAACGCCGCGUGAGUGAUGAAGGUCUUCGGAUCGUAAAACUCUGUUAUUAGGGAAGAACAAAUGUGUAAGUAACUAUGCACGUAUUGACGGUACCUAAUCAGAAAGCCACGGCUAACUACGUG